GAUGUGUGCACUAUUAGACUUGGGGGUGGAGUAGUUAAGUCUAAUCACACAGUAGUGCAAUCUGAUAAUUAAUUUAGCUUAAUAACUAGCAGGUGCAGUGUCUGUCGUGUGCUGGGAGUCCUGUUGCACCAUGUCCAGCCACCACUGAGCUAGAUCCAGUGGUACCUCCAGGAUUUUACUCAAUGUCUGUCUGGAUUUCUGCCUGAGAGAGAAUCCUCAGCUGAAUCAAGGUGAGAGCCAUGGAAGGUCUUCCCUUUGUGGACGCACAUCUGGGAUACUCUCCAGAGAGGGUUUCCUGUGUAAUGCUCACAAUACCCAUCACCAGAAUUGAUGCAAUUCGAGGUCUAACAGUGAGAUGUUGAAGGAGUAUGUCCCCACUGUAGACAAUUAUUCACUAACAACACAUGUAAGCUCUUCCUUACUUACCAUUUUGGGAUCUGUGCUGUCUUUUUGUCUAGUGCUUCAAUGCUUGGAAGAACCAGUAGCUGCUUAGUCACAGUUUUCAGAUAAUCCUCUGCACAUUUCUAUUAACAAUUAAAGAUCAUAGAAGUU